UUCGGUCCCUAUCUGCCGUGGGCGCUGGAGAACUGAGGGGGGCUGCUCCUAGUACGAGAGGACCGGAGUGGACGCAUCACUGGUGUUCGGGUUGUCAUGCCAAUGGCACUGCCCGGUAGCUAAAUGCGGAAGAGAUAAGUGCUGAAAGCAUCUAAGCACGAAACUUGCCCCGAGAUGAGUUCUCCCUGAGACUUUAGGUCUCCUGAAGGAACGUUGAAGACGACGACGUUGAUAGGCCGGGUGUGUAAGCGCAGCGAUGCGUUGAGCUAACCGGUACUAAUGAACCGUGAGGCUUAACCUUACAACGCCGAAG
rnacentral:rRNA from 1 species